GGAGAAGCCUGAGGGAGGAACCUGCCCUGGCACUGUGGAGGAUCUGGGAGAGCUCCAGCCCUGCUGGAGCUGAGCCCCCCGGGCAGCCCCAUGGACUCUCCCCACCUCCUGCACUUGGGAUUCCUGCUCCUGGCUCUUGCUGCUCCCCCUCCAAGUAUUGCCAUGUCCAAUGUUGACCCUACUAAGGGGACACAAGGCAGCACAACUAUGGCAGUCUACUACUGUAAGGACUAUGAAAGCUGCAAAUGCAAGAAUGGGAAAAUCAAUUUUGAAAACUUUACAAAAAUCGCUGAAAUAAAAAACAAGAUAAAUAUUAUUCCAGAUGUAACAGUUGAGUUGGUGACCAACAAAUCACAUAUCACUGUUUGCUUUGAGCAAGCAAAUUCCCAUCUUGAAGGAAUUUAUGGCAUCUUCUCGGAUGAAACUGAUCCACCAAAACUCUGGUGUGGCAUCCUGAAUUCUGGAGAAAAUGGAGGAGGUACCAUCAGUCCUGAGGACAAGAAUGUUUGCUGUGAAGCAGAGGCAGAUGCCUGGCAGCACACCCCCAAACUGAAGUGCUACAUUCAAAAGCCACGUCCAAAACACACUGCACUGCCAGUUGCCAUUGCUGGUAAUCCUGAAUUUCUCACCAGCAAAAAGAACAGCCUUGGCAUCUUAUUGGCAUUCCUGUUUGUUGGGGUUUGCACAGGAUGGGGCACCAUGUUUUACUUCUUGCGGCUGCGGCGUCACCAAGCUUCUAGGCAAGACAGACAGGCUUCUGACAGAGAAAAGCUCACACAUCCUUGAUAACCAUCUACAAGGGAGAAAACCUCUCUGCCAGCAGCAUCCUCCUCCUCUCUCACGAUGUUCAGCAACCAGAUGAACACAGACUGAUUUUCCAUGGGAACUCCUGCCCUUGUGUUUCCAAAUAAUCCUGUUUUCACCAAGGUACUUUCACCACAUCCACACCUUCCCCAAGCACUGACUCUUGUUCAGCUCCAGGCCUUUGGAGCAGCACAGGCAGCACCAGGAGCCCCCAUCCUCUCCUUGGCUUGGCAGCACACAGCAGGCACCCCAGGGUGUGUGGCUGACUCAGCAGCACUAAAAUCAGCUGAAUUCUCUCUGUAACAAAGUGGGAACAGCUCUGAAAUGCUUCCCAUGCCCUCUGCAUGGCUGUCCCUUGGUAAUGCCACAGCAGCACCCAGGUGUCUGUAUUUGAAUUCUCAGGCCAACUCUGCAUCUGCCAAAGCCUUUUGCACCACAAGGUGGCUGAUAGGUUGAACUGGAAUAGUUUGGAAGAGAUAUUUGAUUUUGCCCCCACCUGCAGGCUGAGGACACGUCUGAGUGUUUCUGCAGGGCUGGGUGGGAGGCUGUGUCCAGCUCCCUCAGGAAUGGCAUUGGGUCACAGAGGCCUUGGCCUCCCCAGGCUGAGCAGAGCUCUGGUAUCAAUCUUCUGACAAAUUAGGCAAGUUUAGAUAGCAUGAGAUGAGUACAGCCCCUCAGGAAUCCCUCUGGAUACUUGGUAUCCUUAAAUCAUUCCCCAUUCCCACCUGAUUUGAAUAAAUCCUCAGCUUUUGCAUUGGAUCUAAUUUAC
ensembl:lncRNA uncharacterized LOC108962686